UACGGGGGGGGUAAGCGUUGGUCGGAAUUACUGGGCGUAAAGGGCUCGUAGGCGGCCAACUAAGUCAGACGUGAAAUCCCUCAGCUUAACUGGGGAACUGCGUCUGAUACUGGAUGGCUUGGAUUUGGGAGAGGAAUGCGGAAUUCCAGGUGUAGCGGUGAAAUGCGUAGAUAUUGGGAAGAACACCGGUGGCGAAGGCGGCGACCUGGGCCGUAACUGACGCUGAGGAGCGAAAGCGUGGGGAGCGAACAGG
rnacentral:rRNA from 1 species